rnacentral:rRNA from 1 species
GACGAACCGUGCGAACGUUAUUCGGAAUCACUGGGCUUAAAGCGCGUGUAGGCGGGAGGGCACGUCGGUCGUUGAAAUCCCCCGGCUCAACCGGGGAAGUGGCGCCGAUACGACCUUCCUGGAGGGACGUAGGGGGACCUGGAACUUCCGGUGGAGCGGUGAAAUGCGUUGAGAUCGGAAGGAACGCCCGUGGCGAAAGCGAGGUCCUGGACGUUUUCUGACGCUGAGACGCGAAAGCCAGGGGAGCAAACGGG